rnacentral:misc_RNA from 1 species
UCCUGGUUAACCCAGGCAGUCUCGCUAGAGUUCCCAGCUUCACCUGUUGGCAACUAACGAUAAGGGUUGCGCUCGUUGCGGGACUUAACCCAACACCUCACGGCACGAGCUGACGACAGCCAUGCAGCACCUGUUCAGCGGCCCCGAAGGGCGUUUAUAUCUCUACAAACUUCCACUGUAUGUCAAGUCUGGGUAAGGUUCUUCGCGUUGCAUCGAAUUAAACCACAUGCUCCACUGCUUGUGCGGGUCCCCGUCAAUUCUUUUGAGUUUCACCCUUGCGAGCGUACUCCCCAGGCGGUAUACUUAUCGCGUUAGCUACGGCGCAACUAGGGUUGAUUCCAGCUACACCAAGUAUACAUCGUUUACAGUAAGGACUAC